UAUGCGUGUCUCUUUUUUUUAUAGUAGAAAUUGAGUCCCUUAUACUAGUGUGGGAGGAAAAUUUGAUAAACAUGGAGAUGAAGGUUGUGUAAAUCUCCUAAUUGGAUAAGUAAUUGUGCUAAAUAUAUAUUAUCAGGCAAGCUAAAGCAAGAGUUGCAACUUGCAAAAAGGAGAAAUGAGGUUCUCAUGCACAAUAUUAAGAAAACGGGACAUUUCUCGUACACAAGUAAUUACCUUGCAUCAUGCAUCCCUAUAAACUUUAUAAAGAAUAAGUUAACCAACCAGAACCUACUAAAAUAAGGGUUAAUUUCCCAAAUAUUCACCAACUUUGACCCAAUUUUAUGUUUAGAUACAACUCAUUAAACGUUUCAAUAA